rnacentral:rRNA from 1 species
CUCGAACGAGUCUCAUCCUUGGUACCAAAAUGAUUAGAGGCCUUGGGGCCGAAACGACCUCAACCUAUUCUCAAACUUUAAAUGGGUGAGAUCUCCGGCUUGCUUAAAACAUUUUUGAAGCCGCGAGAUUUAUUUCUUGGAUCGGAGUGGCAAGUGGGCCACUUUUGGUAA